GCUACUUUAAGAAACAAGGCGGGUGUAGACAAUCAGAUUACUCGGGGGCACAGAAGACUUUAUGUGUUAUGUGCAAGAAUAUUAAAGCUAUCACUACAGUCUCCCAUGCCAGGUUACAAGAUUUCUGGAGUGAAAAAUAAUUGGGAUUGUGGCAGGUUAAGUUGCAUUUCCUUGCAUCUCGUCUGCUUGCUGGUGUCAUAUUGGACAAGUCCCCUGUCAGCCCACAAGAGCAUUAAAAUCAGAAGUGCAGCCAGCAGUCAAGAGUGCCGAUGGACAGACUCACUUCUGGGAAGUAACACAGACCUCAGUUCCUAGAUGGAAUGGUUGGUUUCAGUCUCUGUUUAGAAGAUGGGGUUGGUUUAUGCAUGUGAUUAGAGGUCAUUAGGGAUUUCUCUUUGCCUUUUCUCAUUGCGCUGAUCAUUUCACCCCACUCUUUAAAUCCCUCCACCCCCUUCCUCCUGUUUCACAGCAUCAGUUGUAAUUAUAAGCUUCUUCCCCUCAGCUUCAAGGUCCAUGACAGCCCUCCCCC